AUGUCGUGGGCAGAGAGGCCCUGGCCAGGCCUGGAUCCUGAGGGGGGGCCCAGAUCCAAGGGGAGCCCAGCUAGGCCCGGCUUUUGGGGGGCCCAGCCAGGCCUGGAUCCAAGGGGAGGCCCCAAAUCCAAGGGGGGCCUGGCUAAGCCUGGAUCCUGGGGGGCCCAGCCAGGCCCAGAUCCUGAGGGACCCAAAUCCAAGGGAGGCCUGGCUAGGCCCAGAUCCAAGGGGGGCCCAGCUAGGCCUGGCUCUCGGGGGCCCAAAUCCAAGGGAGGCCUUGCUAGGCCCGGCUUUUGGGGGGCCCAGACAGUCCUGGAUCCAAGGGGGGGCCCCAAAUCCAAGGGGGGCCCAGCCAGGCCUGGCUCUCGGGGGGCCAAAUCCAAGGGAGGCCUGGCUAGGCCCAGCUCUCGGUGGGCCCAGCUAGGCCUGAAUUCAAGGAGAGGCCCCAAAUCCAAGGGAGGCCCAGCUAGGCCCAGCUCUCGGUGGGCCCUGGCUAGGCCCAGUUCUUGGUGGGCCCAGCUCCUGAGGCGAGCCCAGCCAGGCCCAGGUGCCAGUCCUGCCUAGGCAGGCAGAGCCUCGAGCUCUUUGGGUUUCAGCAGUUUCUUGGCGGCGAUGAUGGUGUUUUUCAUCAGCAUGGCCACGGUCAUGGGCCCCACACCGCCGGGCACCGGGGUGAUGUAACUCGCCUUCUUCCUCA
rnacentral:lncRNA from 1 species